rnacentral:rRNA from 1 species
GACGAACGCUGGCGGCGUGCUUAACACAUGCAAGUCGAACGGAAAGGCCCCUUUGGGGGUACUCGAGUGGCGAACGGGUGAGUAACACGUGAGUAACCUGCCCUUGACUUCGGGAUAACUUCUGGAAACUGGGGCUAAUACCGGAUAGGAAUCCUUGCUGCAUGGUGGGGGUUGGAAAGCUUCGGCGGUGUUGGAUGGACUCGCGGCUUAUCAGCUUGUUGGUGGGGUAGUGGCUUACCAAGGCUUUGACGGGUAGCCGGCCUGAGAGGGCGACCGGCCACAUUGGGACUGAGAUACGGCCCAGACUCCGACGGGAGGCAGCAGUGGGGAAUAUUGCACAAGGGGCGGAAGCCUGAUGCAGCAACGCCGCGGGCGGGAUGACGGCCUUCGGGUUGUAAACCGCUUUCAGCAGGGGCGAAGCUUGUGGUGACGGUACCUGCAGAAGAAGCACCGGCUAACUACGUG